UCAGCCGAACCUUAACAAUGCCCUAGCCUCUCCAUUUUGUUGCUCAGUCGAACCCCAAAUGCUCCCCUAGGCACCGAUACGCCAACACGAACGGCGACUAGUGUUUUCGAACUUCGAAGGGGUGGUUUUUAGCCUUGAGAUUCCAUUUAGGCUUCAAUUUCAACGAAGUGAAAAGGAACCGAUGGCCGACUCGCAAGGUAAGGUCUCGCUUUUCCCUUUUUCUUUUGUUUUUAAAUGCAACGAUGAAAAAGCAAUGAAGCAAAGAGAUAGGAAAAAUCAACAAAAAAUUAAAGAAACUAAAAGAAACAGAAAUCACCUCUUCAAAAAUUGCUUUCGAAUUUUUCUAUUCAGUUAUGCGUAAAAAAAAUGAAAAAGAAGAUACAUUCGCCUUCUAAGGCUUUAUAUAGUCGAAAUCAAAAGAAAAAUACAUCUUUUUUUUUUGCUAUUUUGUGCUGCUGUUGUGUUUUUUGUUUGCAGGUAUAGGGUACGGGGCCAGUUGAGGCUUACGGCUUGUUGACGUGGAGGCGUGGGCAUGGGCGUGGCUGUGGCGCAAGGAGGCCGUACGAUGCUGAAGACUGGGGGCUGCGGCGCUCCUUACUACUAGGGCUUACUAGCUUAGUCAAACCUAGGUUUAGAUUUUGGGCCAUUGGGCCCUAUUGUAAAUGGGUAUUUAGGUUUGUUAUUGGGCUUGUAUUGGUUGUAAUCGGACUUGGACUGCUGGUUUGGCUUUAUUAUUAUUUGGUUUAUGUUUGUACGGACCCGGGCUAAAUUGGCCCAUUACA
rnacentral:lncRNA from 1 species